rnacentral:rRNA from 1 species
UGGGGAAUUGUUCGCAAUGGGCGCAAGCCUGACGACGCAACGCCGCGUGGAGGAUGAAGAUCUUCGGGUCGUAAACUCCUGUCGAGCGGGACGAAAGAUGCGCGGGUUCAUACCCCGCGCAAGUGACGGUACCGCUAAGGGAAGCCCCGGCUAACUCCGUG